rnacentral:lncRNA from 1 species
CUGACUCUGUGAACAAUUUGCAGUGGUUUCAUCAAAACCCUUGGGGACAGCUCAUCAACCUGUUUUACAUUCCCUCAGGGACAAAACAGAAUGGAAGAUUAAGCGCCACGACUGUCGCUACGGAACGCUACAGCUUAUUGUACAUUUCCUCUUCCCAGACCACAGACUCAGGCGUUUAUUUCUGUGCUGUGGAGCCACAUGGGGGAAAUUCCAGUUUGGAGCAGGGACCCAGGUUGUGGUCACCCCAGUAUCCAGAACCCUGACCCUGCCGUGUACCAGCUGAGAGACUCUAAAUCCAGUGACAAGUCUGUCUGCCUA